UACCUACUCCCUCCGUUCCAAAUUACUCGUCACAAAAAUGGAUGUAUCUAGAACUAAAAUACAUGUAGAUACAUCCAUACCUGCGACAAGUAAUUCGGAACGAAGGGAGUAGCAC
rnacentral:pre_miRNA from 1 species